GCCCCGGUAGCUCAGCGGUAGAGCGCACGGCUGUUAACCGUAAGGUCGAAGGUUCAAAUCCUUCCCGGGGCG
rnacentral:tRNA from 1 species